CUGAACCUUGACAACCCCCAUCCAAAACUAAUUAUCAUAGAAAUUCAAGGCUGGAAGGGAUCUCCAGUGGAAUCCUGCUAACUAGCAUUAUUCACAGGGAUCAAAGUGGACCAUCUUGUGCCAUCCCUAUGAAAUGGCCCUUCAAGGAGGAAAAAGCCACUGCUUCUGCUGAGCUGCCAUUGCGUCCAGUUCAGAGGAGUCACCACUGAGCUGCCACUUCUGUGUCCAGGGUCUCCUUGCUGCUGGGGGGACAUGAGAUGAUGCACAGGAAAAAGGAAGAAAAGGUUGACCCACACAUCUCUGUGUCAAAGUUAUCUAACUAAAUGAAUACAAGCUAUCAUUGUUAAAUACAGAACAGUAUAGCAAAGGACAAGUAUUUUCAAAGUACUGUGCUAAAAGGAACUACAUAUAAUGAACUAUUGUACAAAGAGAAGCCCAGAGAAGGAAAACAAAUAUAUCUUUUAAACCUCUCUAUCUUGCAUCAAAAAACAAAUAUCCACACAUCACAAGAGAAAUUUCUCCAAUUUGAUAGCAGUAAAGACAAUGCUACAGACCAGAAAGAUUCAAAGGGCAGAAAUUGUUGUCAGUUUAUUCUUUCUUAUGUAGGCAUAUUGUUUGUUUUUAUUAAUUGAUAUCCAUCUCUGUUUUCUGAAAACUUACUAUUUUUUGAGGGAAAAAAUGAGUAUUAAAUUGAAUUAAAAAGUAAAUGUAGUCUUGAUAAAAGCUGUU